UGUGUGCUUAUGAAAGACGGAGAGUCACACUUAGAAUUUCUGGGGGAGUUAUCUUCUAUACUAUUGAAGAAAGAUUUGUUUUCUAAACGGCAUCUGAUUACUCUGGACAAAGCUAAGUACUACAGAAACGUGAAUAAAUGGAUAUGGUCUAUGGAGACGUACGCCUAAGCAAUACUAAACACUCAUAUUCCGAACAAUGGUUCAUAUAAAUUACAUACACACAUUUAUGACGAGUUGAAAACAAUGUACAUUGUAUAUUUUAUGUAAUAGCUGGAGGAGAUUCCUAAAGCCACAAAGGAUGCAGAUUACUUUAUCAAUAGAUAUCGUAUACAAUAUACAUUCAAUUGAAGUCCUUGAUGUAUAUAAAUUAAUUUAAACAUCAUAUACAGAGUCUGGCCGUUGUUUAAGAAGGAACUUUGAGCGAAUACGCAUAUAGGACGUUGUUUGGCGUUUUGAGAGUGGAAACUUGAAACUUACACUUGGGUGAUUGCUCUGCCCAAUCUCUUUCGAUCUUACUGGUCAUUAUCAUAGUCUUGAGGCUUGAUAUACUGAGGUGAUGUCUAUAAUUUCAUAAGAAAAUGGCUAAUAUCUAGCGUUGGCAUACUCUUAUUUUUAAUCAGUGUUAUUUCGCAUAACAAUCCUUUUUUCUCUUUAUCAUAUUUUUGACCCAUCAACCUGUAUGUGCCAAGGUCAAAAACAGGUCGAAUUGUAAAAUAUGGAGCUACAGGCUUCUGGCCUCUUGAUGUUCGUAAAAAUCCCAGCGUUGUUGAAUCUGCCACCUGGAAUAAUGUUUCAAUCACAGCCCUUACAGAAAUAACGUCAGCAUUGAUCAAAGCAAGCAGCGCUGACGGAGCAAAGAUUAAUUUAAGUUAUACUAAAGCCUAUAUAUUGUUAUGUUCGUUGGUGAAUGACUGUUUCAUCUUCAACUUCUGCUCCUAUAAAUGAUUUAAAUCUAAUUCAUACUAGCCUAGAAUAUAAAAAUGUAUUACUUCUUUAUCAGGAGUCGGUUUUAAAGAAAUCGGGUUAGAUGUGUGUUAUUUGACAGAUGAAAUGUUUCCAUUCCCAUUUUUUAGUGAGUUGAUCGAUGAAGUAGCAAAAAUGAGGAUUACGAGCAAAGUUAUCGAAAUAAUGAUAAAUAAACAAACCAUUGAAAUGCUUAAAUGGACAAGGAACCGGGUCUGGUAUACCAAAAUUUACACUUGUACCUAAAGAAAAUACCCCUGCGGCUUUUUGAAACUCUAUAAACAAAUAAAUAAUCAUGAGAUUAAGUCUUAAUUUAUCAUAUUGCACAGAAGCUUGCUAAUGGCAGGCUUUUCGGGAAGGACCUCUACCAAUAAAGAGCACAACAGAUCUGGAACCAGGAAUUGUAUCAUGAACUUCUCAGUCAACCAAGAGAUCACUAUUAAUGAUCAGAUCAAUGACUCAGACUAGUCCACAGGUCCUCUACAAUAGAUCCAGUUGUACAAUUUCUAGAUGUUAAAGCUGAAGCAGACUUCUUGAGGCUAUCAAGAAGCACAAGUCUCGUAAGUCUUUGGACCUCUUCUUCUCGCUCCAACAGGAUGUGCCACUUUUAGGACGAGAAUAUCUCCGUGGGAGCCAAGGUGUCACAUGAACGACAGGUGGUUUGUGUAGGAUACCGAGGACGUGCUUCUCAUAGACAAAGCUAAGUAACUGGCAUUUUGGCACGCCCUGUUUGUCUUCAUCCAGAAGGGGGAGAGAGGUGUGUCAAGCCACACAUAAAGCUCGGAUUGUAGAGCCUCUCAACUCCUACAUCUGCGGCUUGAAUAAAAGGUUUCAACAAGAGUGCUCACCUUAACAUGGGCUCCCUGAGACAACGCAAUCAAUCUUCCUCUCCUCUUUCUUCACCUAUUUCGCACAAUCAAUUUUGUAUUAAAAAUAGUUCAGAACUAAAUCAUUUUCAUAAAAUGAGUCAUGUAGGAUUUAAAUCCAAACAUAUCUUUUCAUUUGAUUGGACUCCUAUUAGGAAAAUGUAUUGAUUUUUAUUUACUUUUUUCUACUCAAAUGCAGUUUUGUUUAUGAUUAAAUGAUUUAUUUUUAAAUGCUUGUUUUUAUUAGUUUGUACAAUACAUUUAUAGAAUCUUUUAAAUAAAACUCGCGUUAUGACCUGAAAAAAAAAGAAGUCAAAAAUGCUAUAUGACUUAGUCAGGGGUUUUUCCCAAGCACGACCAUAUAUUAAUAUAUAAAAUCCCGUACGGCAUACUCAAAAACGUCUUUGUUACGCUAUCCAAUGACCACUGGAAGCUUAGGGUUACGGUCGACCCUGACCUUAAUCCAUCUUGAGAUAUGUUGACUAAAAAAUCUGAAAAAAGGUACCUUGAUUUAGAUGCAAAAUAUUAUAAAUUGAAUAUUUCUUAUUUCUGACCAGGGAUAAGUCAAAGGGAUUCUGAUGAUGAUCGUUGCAAGUCUCAUCCUAUUUAAUUUAAACAUUUCAAGCCAUACAGUUAUUAACAAGCAAUAAAGUAUUACAAAUACUCACAGUAUAUGUUAAAAUGUGCUACAACUUCUUGAAUAAAAGACUAAGAACACGUAAAUUUAAAGUCCUCCCUGUAGCAACACUUACUAUGUCUAUAUUCAUUCAAAAUUAUAUAUUUGUGUUCCUUCUUCCUCUUUCCCCUCAGCUUCAGUACACUGGCAAAAAAAAGUUUCGAAUUCAUUAUAAUAAAAAAACAACAAUUAUUUCAUAUUGAUUACUCAAAUGUCAUAAUUUCAUAAUUAAUUACAAAGGACUUCAA
rnacentral:lncRNA from 1 species